rnacentral:rRNA from 1 species
UACAGAGGUGGCAAGCGUUGUUCGGAAUUACUGGGCGUAAAGGGCGCGUAGGCGGUUCGCUAAGUUGAAUGUGAAAACUCUGGGCUUAACCCAGAGCCUGCAUUCAAUACUGGCGGGCUAGAGUUCUGGAGGGGGUAGCGGAAUUCCUGGUGUAGCGGUGAAAUGCGUAGAUAUCAGGAGGAACACCGGUGGCGAAGGCGGCUACCUGGACAGAAACUGACGCUGAGGCGCGAAAGCUAGGGGAGCAAACAGG